UGGGAAAACUCAGGUGCUAAGGGAUGGGGCUGUAUUGUAUCAGCUAGUUGGUGGGGUAAUGGCCUACCAAGGCGAUGACGCAUAGCUGGUCUGAGAGGAUGAUCAGCCACACUGGAACUGAGACACGGUCCAGACUCCUACGGGAGGCAGCAGUGGGGAAUAUUGCACAAUGGGGGAAACCCUGAUGCAGCAACGCCGCGUGGAGGAUGACGCAUUUCGGUGUGUAAACUCCUUUUAUCGGUCAAGAAAAUGACGGUAGCCGAUGAAUAAGCACCGGCUAACUCCGUGCCA
rnacentral:rRNA from 1 species